rnacentral:RNase_MRP_RNA from 14 species
GGAAGCACGGCUUCGCAGCGCACAUACAGGGAGCUUGCUCCCAGCGAUGCUGCGAGGAAAGUCCCCGUGCCUUGGUGCAGAGAGUGCCAGUGGGAGACCGCAGGGCCCAGGUGAGGUCGCAGGUGGCAAGGCCUCGCGCGGAGCCGCAGCACUUGGCUUGGGUCGGUCGCAGCAGCACAGACAUGCCGUGAGCGCCCAGUGGGGCGCCAACAGAACGGGGCUCACUCUCCG